GGAGAAGGGCUGUAGUUCAGUGGUAGAGCAUCUGCUUUGCAUGCAAAAGGAGGGUCCCAGGUUCAAACUGCUGCAGCAUCUCCA